UAGUAAACCUUCGUGCACGGAAGUUUGAACCUCCAUGCACGGAGGAUCAUGUGCGCGGACUAGCGCGGAGUCCCCGCACAAGAGACUUGGGAGUAUACUAUUCAUUUGUGCCUUUUCACACCUGAUUUACAAGUUGGUUCUUCUACAGUCAACAUUUUGGGAUAUAUGAGGGCUCGAAUGAAACACAUUCAUUCCUCUGUCGACACCAAAGAAAGCCCUAACUUGUUCGUUCUCAAAACUCACUCCUCACUACAGCAAAGCAACCGAGCAAGGUGUAGUGGGGGAGCUAGAGGAAGACGACAAGACAUUUCUAUAUUUCUAUGUAUUUCGGCUGAUUUUGCUAUUGGAUUUUAUUGGUUUGAUUACGGCUUUUCAUGUGACCCGUUCUCUGCAACUUGUGUUUCUCGUUAGCUAAUCGGCCUCUCAUUGUUCUUAUUGAUCUUUUGCCAAUAUUUGCCUGUGAAAUCAACCGGUUUGGUGAAAAGUUAAGAUUUACUCUUUUUUGAAUACAAACCCUAGAAAUUUAGCUUGCUGUGAUAA
rnacentral:lncRNA from 1 species